CUUCUUUUGCAGAAAUCAGGAUCUGGCCACGCUGGGUCUUUCGCUGAUCACAGCGGCCCCUGUCCAGCAUUCCUGGCCCCAGUAAGCUUCUGGCGUUUCCAAAGGUGGCAGGAGACUGGGCAGCCGACAUAGCAGGAGGGAACAUCGCGCUCUGCCCUCCCCAUCCCAAGCCCUCUGGCCUGGCCCUGCCCACAGGGUAAAGAGGGAAGUUCCAGGCUGGUGCUGCUGCUGCUGUGGCUGCCAUCCCUUGUCCCUAAGUCUGGGCCCCAGGCCCUGGGUACAGCUCCCUUCCUCACCCUGCCAGGGCCCAUGACCUCCUUCCGUCCUUUCAGGAUUUUGCAGGAAGUGGAAGAGGCGUGUAGAAGGUGCCAGAGGACAGACAGGAAGCCAAGAGAGGCAUGGAGAGCAGGUGCAGCAGAGAGAGCACUGUUUGCUUAGAGAUGAUUUCAUAGAGCGCUGGAUGGAAAGAAAUCUGUCCUCAGUUGCUGGGGUGGCCUCUUGACACCCCCGCUCUUCGCAACAGCCUGGAGAAGACCCCACCCCGUCUCAGCAAAUAUGAGGCGUGUCUAUCCUGCCACUCUCCACCCCAGGAGCAGGCAUUGACCUAGAUGUCUUCCCCUGCCUUCAUUGGGAGGGUGCUGAGCCACGGGUUCCACCUCUGCCAAAGGCACACCUAGGAGACUCCUCAUGUCCAGCUGAGAAGAGGGGGACACCUCCUGUCUGAGACUGCAGCUCACACUGCUGCAUGCUUCCUGGACACCAUCUCUCUGACCUUGGUCGCAUCUGCCUAGCCUGCAGCUACGUUCUCUGACCUCCAGCUCUUCCUCUUUCUCCCCUCGGUAAUACCAAAGUCUCAAGAACACAGCCCUCACUUCUAGACAGAAAGGCCUCACCAGGACCCACCUGUGUGGCCCAGGUGUGACCUCAUGUACAAACACAUCUCCCAAAAUCACCAUCUCGUCAUCAUGGAUCCUAGUACUAUCCAUGAGUUAACUCUCAUUUCUGUGUUAAUCGGGGGUGCAGCACAUUUUGGUGCAGAUUCAUUGUGGCUUUGGGGUGCCAUUUGGGACUCUCCCCCAUGCACAAUGUGUGCCUAUCUCAUCAAAUUAAAUUAGGCUUGUUUUGGCCUGGCCAGUGUCCAUUCCUUCUUUUCCGGAUAAUAGCAUCUCAGUUUUCCAU
rnacentral:lncRNA from 10 species